UCGCGUGCAGCGAGCGUGACCACAAGGAAUGUGAUGAAGAAGAAAAGGCGUGACCUGUGAAAGCCCAACUGUAUAAAAGAAGGAGCACAGGCCUUUACAACUCCUGUUGUUGGUGGACCUUGUGAACACUUUAAAACUCCAGCAUUAAAGAUCACUUUGUUGCUCUUGACUCUGACUCCUGAUAAUUUGAACACCAGAGGGAAGACUUUCCUGAGCUGAACUGGACACCAGUUGGAAACUUCUUCAGUCUAAGGACCAGAGAUUUAUUAUGACAAUACUGUCAAAAACCCUGGACUGAACUCCUCAGGGCGUCAAGCGGUAAAACUGCAGGGUGUGAAACAAGCAAGAAUGGCUUUAUAAAAAUGACGACCAAAAGUAAUUAUGAAACUAUUGGUACAAAACAUACAAGAAAACUGCACUGGAAGUGGAGGAAAGGUAUGGCUGAGCUACCACAGACAGGCUGGAACUAUGACCCGCCAAUUGCAGGACCCAGCUGGACCACGGGCAUGUCCACACCACCUCCCCAACCAACACCUCUUGAUCCAUGGUCUGGGACACUGGAGGACUCGGCAGAGGCCCCCCCAGCCACCGCCAGACCUGAUGGAUGUCCAGAUGCAACCAACUACCGCACCAGAUGGAGUUACACAAUACAAAGAGGAGGAAAUCCAGCAGUUGGAAAAAAAGACAAUGCUUAGUCACUGACAGUGUGGGGUGGUGGGAAAAAAAGACACUGCUUAGUGGAAAAAAAGACACUGCUUAGUCACUAAGAGAGCAUGUGACAUCAAAGUAUGGAAGGGGGAGAGGAGUCGGCUGAGAAAGCGAACUGAAGACCUCGCGUGCAGCGAGCGCGACCACAAGGAAUGUGAUGAAGAAGAAAAGGCGUGACCUGUGAAAGCCCAACAGUAUAAAAGAAGGAGCACAGGCCUUUACAACUCCUGUUGUUGGUGGACCUUGUGAACACUUUAAAACUCCGGCAUUAAAGAUCACUUUGUUGCUCUGGACUCCUGAUAAUUUGAACACCAGAGGGAAGACUUUCCUGAGCUGAACUGGACACCAGCUGGAAACUUCUUCAGACUAAAGACCAGAGAUUUAUUACAACAAUACUGUCAAAAACCCUGGACUGAACUCCUCAGUGACCAUCAUCACUGACACAGCCUGAACUACUGAACUGGUCCUUCAGGAAGCGAUUGUGAGACCACACACCUUCACAUGGCGUCACCUGGUUCAUCAAAGGAGGAGGAUCACACAGAAACAAGGGAGACGCUCAUGCCUAAACAUUUUGUGUACAAGGAUGCGAAAACACCAUACUUGCAAAAAAAACAAAGAACUGAAGAAAUGAUGAGGAAUCCAGACACUCUCUAUCGAACCGAGAGACAAGGGAAAGGUGACAAAAUACUGUUUUACACAAAAAAGCAUGACAAAUGGAAUGCAGCACUUUCUCGUGACAAAACCAGGAUUGAAGUUACAAACACCUACCAAAGUUCCAACCCAAAGUUCACUAUAAAAGUGGCUUCUACUGGGGAGUGUGAGAUAAAUUGUCCAAAUGAUGAUAUAGAAACUGUUGUAAGGGAAAUUGCAACAAUGAAGGAAAAAAUCCAAAAUGAGCAAGACGUAGAGGAGAAAAUGGAGAACUUGAAAGUGAAGGACGACAGUCAGUCUGAUGACUCAGAGGAGUAGCUUCCAGAUUAUCCUUCUCAGUUCCUGCCAGAACCCCACAUGUCAGACUCCACCUCCACUUCAAUUACUGUUACUUUCAUGGGGCUUUAGGUACAAUGAAAAAUAGAGCAAACAUUACUAGAUUUAGAUCUAUAAACUUUAAGGAUCAAUAAAGAGGGUAUAUUAUCUUUUCUGACAUCAUGUUUGAUGGAUAAACUGGGUGAUAAAAUUAUCUGAUGUCUUGUUCAUGUCUGUUCAGCUGUCAUUGGAUGAGAGGAGACUAUCAGGGUAAACAGGGUAAUAUCUGGGUGUGGUUUGAGGUUUUUCUUUAUCCAAAAAAUAUAGACUUCAGGUGUUUGUGGUUUGCUGUGAUAAUGUUAUAAGGGUACUGGUAUUAUAUCAUUUGAUUGAGCCUUAGUUCGUAGGUUUUUGUGGAAUCACAGAACCAUAGUCUUGUACUCACUGAGCAGGUGGUAGUUUGAGUCUCUCUCAUAUUUAAAGGUCAGUUUUCCACUCAAAAUAAGAUACAGUCACACCACCAGCAUUCAGGUACAUGUCCUGCAAGAAGAAACAUAACAUCCUCAGACAUUGACCUGUUUGUAACGGCCUUCACUGCUCUGUUUGUAGAAAUGUCUUGUUAAAUGUAUUGUGAAAAUGAUUUGAUUAAAAUGCUACAAACAGU